rnacentral:rRNA from 1 species
CCUACGGGCGGCAGCAGUCGGGAAUAUUGGGCAAUGGAGGAAACUCUGACCCAGCAAUACCGCGUGAAGGAUGAAGGUUUUCGGAUUGUAAACUUCUGUUAUAAAGGAAGAAAAAAAUGACGGUACUUUAUAAGUAAGCCCCGGCAAACUAUGUGCCAGCAGCCGCGGUGAUACAUAGGGGGCAAGCGUUGUCCGGAAUGACUGGGUGUAAAGGGUGUGUAGGUGGCUUAUUAAGUUAGAGGUGAAAGCCCGAAGCUCAACUUCGGAACUGCCUUUAAAACUGGUUGGCUUGAGUGUGGGAGAGGUUAGUGGAACUCCUAGUGUAGCGGUAAAAUGCGUAAAUAUAUGUAAGAACACCAGUGGCGAAGGCGGCUUGCUGGGUCGAUACUGACAUUGAGGCACGAAAGCGUGGGGAGCAAACAGGAUUAGAUACCCGUGUAGUC